UUAAACUUGAAGUAGGUUUUCUGGUUGUUGAGAGGGUAAACCAGACACGCAGACGGGGUUUUUUGAUCAAAGUUGUUAGCCUACCAGUUAUGUAUUCUCCUCUAAUUGGAGAGCUCACACAGUUACAGAGUACACUACCGAGGGUUCAUUAGCUCGAGUUAACAGGUUUAUCACCAAGGUUUAAAAUUUAUCACGAAAGAGUAGGAAAUAGGAGUUAUUUAUUGGGUAAGGUGUGGCCUUGAUGAGGACUUAACAGAACAAGGGCAAGAUCAGUGAGUACUCCUAAAACCAAGUACGAGUAACAAAACCAGACAAGGUUUCUCGUGGAGGCACUUCAGAAGAAGAAUCAGGGCAAGAGGUGCUCGAGGAGAUGAUUUCUAAUGUCGGUUUGAUUAUCUUGCUUGGAAUAAAAACCAAGAUAGAAAGUAAAGUAUAUAUUCAUGUUAAAGAUCAUUUGACGAUCAAGGGUAAUAAAAUAGGGGUCUCCCCGCGAAAGGUGCAGCAGCUUCAAUCAUACAAGGAAUAUUUUUGUGAUAAGGAUACUGAACAUUUUAGACCUCAAACACUUGAGCCCAAGUUUCUGUUUAUUAGAUAUGGUAGUACACUGAUGAAGUCCUCCAGAAAAACUGUGUGUAACUAAAUUAGACAAGGAGUCCUUUCAUGAACGUACUUAGGGAGAAGUAGAGGGCAAGAGUGUACUUAGAGGCUGUUAGGUUGUUUUACUUGAGAGGGAUGUCUGUGUAAAGUCAUUUCUUGACUGUCUGCAUGGACUUGAUCAAUCUGACAAUCAGUUUAGAGGGCAUUUUUGCGCGUUCAACUCGACACUGAGCAACUCGACUAAAGUAUUUUGAAUGUUAGGAUCGGUGAGAUCUGAGGACUGAUUGCUAAUAGAAUUUGUUCGUUAUAUUUUGGCAAUUCCAUUCACCGAAGGAGGUCUAGAUCUGGUCGGAUGGAAGCCGACGCGCGAAGGAGUGGUAAAAAUUUGAGGUACACCGCCGUCAAGAAGGAUGUACGUUUGAAUGACCCUAGACUGGUUCUUUACAGAGGGAGCRAAAAAUACUAUGACAAUGGAAUGGGACAAGGAACAUUUUCCUUCUGGAGCCUUCAGGCCAAAAACAGUGAACCAGCUGUGUAGUGUUGCAAUCGCCUUCGCUGUGCUACCACACAUUUUCUCGUUAAAUUUCUUUGGAAAAUGUUCUUUAAAAUCCUUCAAUAAAAUAAAAGAUUAUAAAUAAUAACCCUAAUUUAAAAU